rnacentral:rRNA from 1 species
AACGAACGCUGGCGGCAUGCCUAACACAUGCAAGUCGAACGAGACCUUCGGGUCUAGUGGCGCACGGGUGCGUAACGCGUGGGAACCUGCCUUUAGGUUCGGAAUAACUCAGAGAAAUUUGAGCUAAUACCGGAUAAUGUCUUCGGACCAAAGAUUUAUCGCCUUUAGAUGGGCCCGCGUAAGAUUAGCUAGUUGGUGGGGUAAAGGCCUACCAAGGCGACGAUCUUUAGCUGGUCUGAGAGGAUGAUCAGCCACACUGGGACUGAGACACGGCCCAGACUCCUACGGAGGCAGCAGUGGGAAUAUUGGGACAAUGGGCGAAAGCCUGAUCCAGCAAUGCCGCGUGAGUGAUGAAGGCCUUAGGGUUGUAAAGCUCUUUACCCGAGAUGAUAAUGACAGUAUCGGGAGAA